AGAGACAGAAGAGGGAGGUAAGAAAGAGAGAGAGAGAGAGAGAGAGAGAGAGAGAAGGGGCGGGCGAUUUGAGUUUUUGUUUGUGUCUCCGUCUGUGGAGUCGGCGUUAGAUGGUGUUGGGCCCGCCAUCGCCAUGGUAUCGGACCAGGAGAUCGCCAGCUGCGUUGAGUCCGUCCUCCGGCAGUCUGACCCCGCCGCCGGCGCCGCAUCCCUCACCGGCGUCGUCCGCCAGGUCGAGGCCAAGCUAGGACUCGAUCUCUCCCACAAGGCCGCCUUCAUCCGCGACCAGAUCGAACUCCUCCUCGGCCCCUCCCGCCCCCCGGCCCCUUCUCAUGCUCAUCCUCCUCAUUCCCAGCUGCCGGCUUCCCAUAACCCCUACGUUCUCCUCCACCAACUCCCCCUCCAGCAACAGAUCCCCCCUCACCAGCCCGCCUCCUCAGCCGGCGUCGCAGCCCCCGUCCCCUUUCCCCACCAGCACCACCCCGGCGUCGCCUUCCAGUACCCCCCGCCCCCACCACUUCCCGCUGCUGCCGUCGUGGCGGCGUAUCACCUUCAGCAGCAGCUCCACCAGGCGCCACAGGGGGUCACCACUGCUGUUCGUCCUGCGCCUGUGACUGGGGCUGUGGGCGCACCGAAGGAAAGUGCUCCACCUAGAGCUAAAAGAAGAGGUGGUCCUGGAGGUCUAAAUAAAGUUUGUGGUGUUUCACCUGAACUCCAGCCCAUUGUUGGCGAGGCAGCAAUGUCAAGAACUCAGAUUGUAAAGCAGCUAUGGGCUUACAUCCGGCAAAAUAAUCUCCAAGAUCCUAACAACAAGAGGAAGAUUAUCUGCAAUGAUGAACUACGACGGGUGUUUGAGACUGACAGUACUGACAUGUUUAAAAUGAACAAGCUGUUAGCUAAGCAUAUUAUUCCACUUGAUGAUCCAAAGGAUACAGGUCCUGAACCCAAAAAGCUAAAGGCUGCCGAUGUUGCUGCAACUGAAGUUACCGAACCUGCUUCUGAUGAAUACCCUCUGUUUAUUUCUGAUGCAUUGGUCAAGUUUUUUGGAAGUGAUGAACGAGAAAUGCUCCAAUCUGAGGCUUUGAGUCGUAUAUGGGAUUACAUAAAAGCCAACCAGCUGGAAGAUUCUUCAAACAUGUCUAUUCUAUGUGAUUCCAAGCUUCAAGAACUGUUUGGUUGUGAGAGCCUUCCUAUUUCAGGGAUAUCUGACAUGCUGGCAAACCAUUUAUUUAAGAAGUCAUGAUACGAUCGAGUAACUGGUUAGAUGAUAUGUGCCUUCGUCAUUCCUUUUGCGUCCUUUUUAAUAUGUUGCCUAUCUAUAGAACAACAUAUUUGAUGUUGUAUGGAUGUGGUUCAGUUGCAUCAGGUUGAUCUAACACUUACAGAGAGUUGAUAUAGAAACCUAUUUGUAAUAUGUGCUGUUACUGAUUGUAUGUGAUGAUAUUAGACAGAUUAGUUUCAUGUUAGGGUGUUGUGUAAUUUAUUUGUUAGUGUUGAUCUAAAUGAUGAUAGUUGACCUUGAAUGUUUGGUUUUUUCAGUCUAAGAUUAUCAACAUCGGACUUCAAUUGACCUAA